rnacentral:rRNA from 1 species
GUGGGGAAUAUUGGACAAUGGGCGAAAGCCUGAUCCAGCCAUGCCGCGUGUGUGAAGAAGGUCUUCGGAUUGCAAAGCACUUUAAGUUGGGAGGAAGGGCAGUAAGUUAAUACCUUGCUGUUUUGACGUUACCGACAGAAUAAGCACCGGCUAACUUCGUGCCAGCAGCCGCGGUAAUACGAAGGGUGCAAGCGUUAAUCGGAAUUACUGGGCGUAAAGCGCGCGUAGGUGGUUUUGUAAGUUGGAGGUGAAAUCCCCGGGCUCAACCUGGGAACUGCCUCCAAAACUGCAUGACUAGAGUACGGUAGAGGGUAGUGGAAUUUCCUGUGUAGCGGUGAAAUGCGUAGAUAUAGGAAGGAACACCAGUGGCGAAGGCGACUACCUGGACUGAUACUGACACUGAGGUGCGAAAGCGUGGGGAGCAAACAGGAUUAGAUACCCGAGUAGUCC